CCCAUCCUCCGUUGAAUUGGGUCUAUCUUUUGAUUCUGGUCUACCCUGAGAGAUAAAGUAGCCCGUACCUCUCCUAUUCAUUAUGGUAAUCUAUCCCGUAUCUAUUGAUGACUAAAACCCCCCUUCACUCGUGGGACAAGGUUCUUCUUUCUGUUCUGAUUUGGAAUGGAAUAACUUCCCCACCUCACUACUCAACCGUAGCUUUCUACCUUUUGAUUAUGGUAAUUUAGUCUUCAUCAUACAACACCCAUGCCACUUUCACCUGUAGUUGCAGCAGCCGUUUUUCUUUCUUUUACGAAAGAAGGAGCAAGCAACCAAGCAACGACUUUCGUGCUAGCACACUUUCCUGUUGCUUGGUUGUUGGUGUAGUUUUCUUCCCUCCCUCCCAAAUUUUGCCAAAUGAUUCAAGACCUGAACUGAAAGAGACUAUCCAAACAAAGCUUUCCGACUUGGCCUUAAGAAGCUUGUAUCCUUUAGAAUAUUGGGACCUAACGAGACAGGACAGCCUAUACCGAAGGAGACAAAUUCAUACCCCGCCAAUUUCUAGGGCUUGCCUUGCUCGAAUGUUCUUGCCUUUGCCCCCACGCCAGCUUGCUCUCCCAUCCCUCCCACCUUUGCCUAUACCUAUGCUUAUAUUCCCUCCACUGGUUGAUCGACGAGUCCACUGGCAUCUAGAGCAGUAUAUGUAACUUCAAGGUAUUCCACUAGACCAGGUACUCGCUAUAGAGGCUACGAACCUUAC
rnacentral:lncRNA from 1 species